GACGAACGCUGGCGGCGUGCUUAACACAUGCCAGUCGAACGGUGAAGGGACCAGCUUGCUGGUUCUGGAUGAGUGGCGAACGGGUGAGUAACACGUGAGUAACCUGCCCCCUUCUUCUGGAUAACCGCAUGAAAGUGUGGCUAAUACGGGAUAUUCUGGGUCUGUCGCAUGGCGGGCCCGGGAAAGAUAUUGCUUCGGUGGGGGAUGGGCUCGCGGCCUAUCAGCUUGUUGGUGGGGUGAUGGCCUACCAAGGCGGUGACGGGUAGCCGGCCUGAGAGGGUGGACGGUCACACUGGGACUGAGACACGGCCCAGACUCCUACGGGAGGCAGCAGUGGGGAAUAUUGCACAAUGGGCGCAAGCCUGAUGCAGCGACGCCGCGUGAGGGAGGGAGGCCUUCGGGUUGUAAACCUCUUUCGCCAGUGAAGCAGGCCUGCUCCUUGUGGGUGGGUUGACGGUAGCUGGAGAAGAAGCGCCGGCUAACUACGUG
rnacentral:rRNA from 1 species